GAUUCUUCUGCUUCAGCCACCGGAGUAGCUGGGAUUACGGUUCUAGGAUCAACCAUUCCCCCAAGGAGCUUUGGUUCCUUUUAUUGGAAAUGAUAUUAGAAACCAAGAUCUGCACACUAGGUAUUAUGCCAUUACCCAAAUGCCACCAGGAGAGAUGAGGGCAAGACACCAGAUAUUGACUCACCAUGUCCGCUUUGUAGGAGCCACGGUACAAUGACCUCCCUACCUAACCCCCUUCACCUUCGGCUGGAGCUCCGCGAAGUGAGAGGCGGCGCUGACAUUAGAGGCCGAUGGCGGCGCUGUGGCAGCAUUUGUAGCCUCUUAAGAUGGUCCCCUCACCUUGCUUGGAGUAACUUGAGAAUGGAGUAGAGGUUGAGGAUGAAAACUUAAAAGAGAAUAAUCCAUGAAAAUGAGAAGAAAUGGCUGAAGAAAUAGGAGGUAAACUUCAAGAGGAUUGCUGUGGAAUAGGAGAGAAUUUGAAGAAAGAUAAAUAAUAUAACAUGCAAUAGGCAAGACAAAUUAGAUCAGAGCUAGAAAGUGCCAUUGGGCAUGGUUAUCAGUUCAAUGGUAAGACUGAGAACUUUCCCUCCAUGAUUCCCACUUAAGAAGAUCUACUACUUCUUAUUGUUGGUACUUCAUGUAACUAUGUCUAGAGAUAUUUACAUUUUCCUUAUGCUUCUCCCUGUCUCAUAGAAACAGUUAAAAAAUUGAUUUUGAG